UACGUAGGGUGCAAGCGUUGUCCGGAAUUAUUGGGCGUAAAGAGCUCGUAGGCGGCUUGUCGCGUCUGCUGUGAAAACUCGGGGCUUAACCCCGGGCCUGCAGUGGGUACGGACAGACUAGAGUGCGGUAGGGGAGACUGGAAUUCCUGGUGUAGCGGUGAAAUGCGCAGAUAUCAGGAGGAACACCGGUGGCGAAGGCGGGUCUCUGGGCCGUAACUGACGCUGAGGAGCGAAAGCGUGGGGAGCGAACAGG
rnacentral:rRNA from 1 species